UGGCGCCGUAGCGCGGUGGUCCCACCUGACCCCAUGCCGAACUCAGAAGUGAAACGCCGUAGCGCCGAUGGUAGUGUGGGGUCU
rnacentral:rRNA from 1 species